rnacentral:rRNA from 1 species
UACGUAGGGUGCGAGCGUUGUCCGGAAUUAUUGGGCGUAAAGGGCUCGUAGGUGGUCUGUUGCGUCGGUAGUGAAAACUCAGGGCUUAACCCUGAGCCUGCUUCCGAUACGGGCAGACUAGAGGUAUGCAGGGGAGAACGGAAUUCCUGGUGUAGCGGUGAAAUGCGCAGAUAUCAGGAGGAACACCGGUGGCGAAGGCGGUUCUCUGGGCAUUACCUGACGCUGAGGAGCGAAAGUGUGGGGAGCGAACAGG